CAGAAGAAACGGACAAUCACAUUACUGCACGAGAAACAUUCUAUUUGUUAGGCUAACAGCACAGGUUUGCACAAAAUGUAUGUCUGUUAACAGUGCUAUUUUGCAAAAUGCCUGAUAAGUUACACAAUCCUGUCUUUAAAAGUAUAUAAUGUGCAGCUUCAGAUGUGAAGAUGCUAGCCAAAUUUGAGAGGACUGUCCCUUUAAACUAGUAUUUUUAAACUCAUGCAUUGAAACUCACCGAGUCACAGAUUUAGAAAGGGAGCCAAAUCGUUCAUCACAAAUGAGGAUCUACAAGAGCAGCAGAAGUAAAAUAUCUGCACAGUGCAAUUUGUGUGUGGGUUGACAAAUUGUGAUUCAAAUUUUGUGCAGGCAAUAAAAAUGACUCCACCCCACCUGAAUGAAAGGUUUAAAUGUGUACUUACCACAGGUGAGCGAGGACUGUAACCAUGCAUUCAAAGCUCCACUUAAAAGACACGACAGUGAGGCCAAUUUCAAAUGUGAGAAACAAACACUAGAAAAGCACUGCCCCAUUACAUACUAAUCCAAAAAGUGACCGAAAAAUACUCUAAUGUGUACGUUUUCACCAACACUGCACAGUAUUAUGAUCAUGCAAUGGAAGCCUAACAAAUGAUUUUUCCUGCAGGGUUUUUUUUUUUUUUUGCUGCUGGCCCCUCGUAGACUUGAUGAUUAAAAACACAAGAUGUGAGUGAGGCCCAUCGA